rnacentral:rRNA from 1 species
AGUGAACGCUGGCGGUAGGCCUAACACAUGCAAGUCGAACGGCAGCACAGUAAGAGCUUGCUCUUACGGGUGGCGAGUGGCGGACGGGUGAGGAAUACAUCGGAAUCUACUUUUUCGUGGGGGAUAACGUAGGGAAACUUACGCUAAUACCGCAUACGACGUACGGGUGAAAGCAGGGGAUCUUCGGACCUUGCGCGAUUGAAUGAGCCGAUGUCGGAUUAGCUAGUUGGCGGGGUAAAGGCCCACCAAGGCGACGAUCCGUAGCUGGUCUGAGAGGAUGAUCAGCCACACUGGAACUGAGACAGGGUCCAGACUCCUACGGGAGGCAGCAGUGGGGAAUAUUGGACAAUGGGCGCAAGCCUGAUCCAGCCAUACCGAGUGGGUGAAGAAGGCCUUCGGGUUGUAAAGCCCUUUUGUUGGGAAAGAAAAGCAGCAGGUUAAUACCCCGCUGUUCUGACGGUACCCAAAGAAUAAGCACCGGCUAACUUCGUG